rnacentral:rRNA from 1 species
CUCUCUCUCCCCCAAGAACAGAGCACGGCCGCCGUCGCCUCGAUCUGCCCCGUCCGGGCAUCUCCGGCGACACGACAGAUACCUACAGAUUCUCCUUGUCUCCCUCUACCAUAUCCCCCUAUUUAUUUGAUCCGCCGCCGCCAAAAACGUCGCCACCACUCAAUCCUAGCACCGCCUGAUCCAGGUCCGGUGGGCUUGCCACCGGCUGCAGCGGCAACGACGUCUCCAUGCCUACAUCUUCCUCCAGCAGAGCUGCACGCAUGAGGCGUGCAACUACGGCCGUCAGGUGCGAGCGGCUUCACCGGCGCGGCUCCGGCAACAUGGCCGCUACCAGCGCCCGGCUCGCCUUUGUCUACUGCUACUAGUGUAACUAGAGUCCAGAAGAUUAGGUGUUCAUGUUCUAAGCAAAGGUAAAGAUGGAUCAAGGUGCCAAGCAUCAAGCAAACAGAGCUGCAAAAGCAAGGUACUUGAAUAGUACCUGAUCGCAACUCGGCAUUCGACCAAAAGAGUGGAUGGGGAUGGUGGGAAGAGCUUGGUUCUCUCUCUUGUGCGUGUUGUGUGCAGUAGAGGAAGUGAAAGGUGAAAGGUGCAUGCUGCUAUUUAUAGUAGUGGAGGAUGCUAUGUCGGUUUGGUAAAAUGGAGCAGGUAGCUGGCAUGCAUGGUUGCAUGCGCAUGCAAGGCUCCACUUGUAAUCAUAUGAGCUGUAGAAUGGACAAGUGUGUAGUGCUUGGUUGGACAUUAGUUGGCAUUUUCUUCAUGCCUAAGUAUAUGGCCUAUUAGUUGUUUGUAAAAUUUUAAUUUUACAUUGGGCUCAAGAAACAUUGUAAAAAGCACAUCAAAGAUUGGUUGUGAUCUAAAUUAAGAUCAAUAUCCUGGAUGUUGUUUGUGGCGA